rnacentral:rRNA from 1 species
AGUGAACGCUGGCGGCAGGCCUAACACAUGCAAGUCGAACGGCAGCACAGUGGAGCUUGCUCCAUGGGUGGCGAGUGGCGGACGGGUGAGGAAUACAUCGGAAUCUGCCCAGUCGUGGGGGAUAACAUAGGGAAACUUAUGCUAAUCCCGCAUACGACCUACGGGUGAAAGCGGGGGAUCGCAAGACCUCGCGCGAUUGGAUGAGCCGAUGUCCGAUUAGCUAGUUGGCGGGGUAAUGGCCCACCAAGGCGACGAUCGGUAGCUGGUCUGAGAGGAUGAUCAGCCACACUGGAACUGAGACACGGUCCAGACUCCUACGGGAGGCAGCAGUGGGGAAUAUUGGACAAUGGGCGCAAGCCUGAUCCAGCCAUGCCGCGUGGGUGAAGAAGGCCUUCGGGUUGUAAAGCCCUUUUGUCCGGAAAGAAACGCCUCGGAUUAAUACUCUGGGGUAAUGACGGUACCGGAAGAAUAAGCACCGGCUAACUUCGUGCCAGCCGCCGCCGUAAAAC